AUUGAACGCUGGCGGUAUGCUUAACACAUGCAAGUCGGGCGAGUAGCCUUCGGGCGAGAGCGGCGGACGGGUGAGUAAUGCAUAGGAAUCUGCCCUGUAGUGGGGGACAACGUGGGGAAACCCACGCUAAUACCGCAUACGCCCCAAGGGGGAAAGCGGGGGACCUUCGGGCCUCGCGCUAUAGGAUGAGCCUAUGUCGGAUUAGCUAGUUGGCGGGGUAAAGGCCCACCAAGGCGACGAUCAGUCGCUGGUCUGAGAGGAUGAUCAGCCACCGUGGGACUGAGACACGGCCCAGACUCCUACGGGCGGCAGCAGUGGGGAAUAUUGGACAAUGGGCGCAAGCCUGAUCCAGCAAGACCGCGUGUGUGAAGAAGGCCUGAGGGUUGUAAAGCACUUUUAAUGGGGAGGAACACCCGCCGGCCAACACCCGGCGGACUGACAUUACCCAUAGAAAAAGCACCGGCUAACUCCGUGCCAGCAGCCGCGGUAAAAC
rnacentral:rRNA from 1 species